rnacentral:rRNA from 1 species
AUUGAACGCUGGCGGCAGGCCUAACACAUGCAAGUCGAGCGGAUGAAGGGAGCUUGCUCCUGGAUUCAGCGGCGGACGGGUGAGUAAUGCCUAGGAAUCUGCCUGGUAGUGGGGGAUAACGUCCGGAAACGGGCGCUAAUACCGCAUACGUCCUGAGGGAGAAAGUGGGGGAUCUUCGGACCUCACGCUCUCAGAUGAGCCUAGGUCGGAUUAGCUAGUUGGUGGGGUAAAGGCCUACCAAGGCGACGAUCCGUAACUGGUCUGAGAGGAUGAUCAGUCACACUGGAACUGAGACACGGUCCAGACGCCUACGGGAGGCAGCAGUGGGGAAUAGUGGACAAUGGGCGAAAGCCUGAUCCAGCCAUGCCGCGUGUGUGAAGAAGGUCUUCGGAUUGUAAAGCACUUUAAGUUGGGAGGAAGGGCAGUAAGUUAAUACCUUGCUGUUUUGACGUUACCAACAGAAUAAGCACCGGCUAACUUCGUG